UUAAACAUGCGAGUCGAACGUGAAAACGGGGCAACCUGGGAGUGAAGUGGCGGAAGGGUGACUAAUACAUCGGAACGUGUCCAAUAAUGGGGGAUAACCUAACGAAAGUUACGCUAAUACCGGAUACGAUCUGCGGAUGAUAGCGGGGGAUGCAGCAGUAAAAGCUUUUGGCAGAAGCUACACGUCGAAGGCGAACCAAUAGUUUUAGUGUGCUGCACCUCGUCGUUAUUGGAGCGGCUGAUGUCUGAUUAGCUACUUGGUGAGGUAAUGAGCUUACCAAGGCGACCAUCAGUACCUGGUCUGAGAAGA
rnacentral:rRNA from 1 species